GCGGAUGUAGUUCAGUGGUAGAACGUCAGCUUCCCAAGCUGAAUGUCGUGGGUUCGAGUCCCAUCCUCCGCU
rnacentral:tRNA from 2 species